rnacentral:rRNA from 2 species
CCUACGGGAGGCAGCAGUAGGGAAUCUUCCGCAAUGGGCGAAAGCCUGACGGAGCAACGCCGCGUGAGUGAUGAAGGUCUUCGGAUCGUAAAACUCUGUUAUUAGGGAAGAACAAACGUGUAAGUAACUGUGCACGUCUUGACGGUACCUAAUCAGAAAGCCACGGCUAACUACGUGCCAGCAGCCGCGGUAAU